UACGAAGGUGGCAAGCGUUGUUCGGAUUUACUGGGCGUAAAGGGAGCGUAGGUGGUUAGGUAAGCCCUCCGGGAAAUCUUCAGGCUUAACCUGAAAAGGUCGGGGGGGACUGCCUGGCUAGAGGACGGGAGAGGAGCGCGGAAUUCCCGGUGUAGCGGUGAAAUGCGUAGAGAUCAUGAGGAAGACCAGUGGCGAAGGCGGGUCUCUGGACAGUUCCUGACACUGAGGCACGAAGGCCAGGGGAGCAAACGGG
rnacentral:rRNA from 1 species